rnacentral:rRNA from 1 species
GACGAACGCUGGCGGCGUGCUUAACACAUGCAAGUCGAACGAGAAUCUGUGGAUCGAGGAUUCGUCCAAGUGAAGCAGAGGACAGUGGCGGACGGGUGAGUAACGCGUGAGGAACCUGCCUUUCAGAGGGGGACAACAGUUGGAAACGACUGCUAAUACCGCAUGACACAUUUGGGUGGCAUCAUCUGAAUGUCAAAGAUUUAUCGCUGAAAGAUGGCCUCGCGUCUGAUUAGCUAGUUGGUGAGGUAACGGCCCACCAAGGCGACGAUCAGUAGCCGGACUGAGAGGUUGACCGGCCACAUUGGGACUGAGAUACGGCCCAGACUCCUACGGGAGGCAGCAGUGGGGAAUAUUGGGCAAUGGGCGCAAGCCUGACCCAGCAACGCCGCGUGAAGGAAGAAGGCUUUCGGGUUGUAAACUUCUUUUAAGUAGGGAAGAAGCAGAAGACUGUACCUCUAGAAUAAGCCACGGCUAACUACGUGCCAGCAGCCG